AUUGAUUCUCAGCUUUUUGGCUAAGACGAAGUGUAGUAUCCAUUCCAGUCAGCUUACUAUCUGAUAUGUCCUCUAUUUGAGGAUAAUAUAGUAAAUGGAUUUGGGGAUUAAGGAGAUGGAAUAGGAGCUUGCUCUGUGCACUCUGCACAUCGACCUGGUAUUGCAGUCCCUCUAGGAAUGGUGCACCCCCU
ensembl:snRNA U2 U2 spliceosomal RNA